rnacentral:lncRNA from 1 species
UUGUCUUCAUUGCAUUAUUGAUAUAACAAUUGUUAAAAAUAAAUAAUAUUGAAAUAAAUUUUGCAUAUCGUAACAUAUCCCGCAACAAAAUUUACAACAUAAACACCAAAGUUAAAAUAAAACAAAAUUCAUAACAUAACCCGCAACAAUUUACUAAAUUCCAGAAGCUUAAAUUACAACAAGAUCCAGCAACAACACUAAAAGAAAGAAAAAAAAAACUUAACUUCCACAAUACACUUAAAUUCCACGCCAGAUCUUUCACAUAACAAAAAAUUAAAACAAAAAGAACUUAACUUCCACAAUACACUUAAAUUAUACGCCAGAUCUUUCACAUAACAAAAAAUUAAAAUAAAAAGAACAAGCUGAAAAAGCCCACUGCUCACUUAAUCUUUGCCGAGAGAGCCGAGAGAGGGGAAGACGGAGGAGGUCGUGAAGCUGCAUGAGAACUGACGAAAAUGGAGGAAAAUGAAAGUGAAAGAGAGAGGAAAGUUUUGGGGGAAAACAAAAAAGUCAAGGAGAGAGGAAAGUGAAAUCGUGGGGAAGUGAAAAAGUGAAAGAGGGAGCAAAGCAUUCCAACGCCAUUUAUUUAUUCAUUUGAUAUAUAUUUUUUUUUUUUAUGUUUAAAGAGUGAGAGGAAAUGAGAGGAGAAACGACAGAAAAGAUUGCCGUUUCUGUCGUCCUUCUCUCAUCCCUCUCGCUACUUAGCAUUUUCCUUACCUAAAAACAUUGACCUGCGUGAUGUCUGGAAAGUUUGAUCUUCUACUUUGAAUUUUCUUUUCGCUCUCUCUCUCCUUACUGCAAUCAACGCAAAUUUAAUCGUGGGGACACCAUAAUAAUUGAGGAUAGACAUUCAUAUCCUAAAAAUAUCUGCUCGACGUCCACAUCACUUGAUGCAUGUGAUUGGAAUAAAAAUUUGGGCGAUGAAAAUUCUUUUGUUAUCGCCCCCAUUUGGUCAAUAACAAAGGUCAAAAGUCGGUGUGCAAUUUUCAUCGUGUAAGAACAGUC